UACGGGGGGAGCAAGCGUUGUUCGGAUUUACUGGGCGUAAAGGGCGCGUAGGCGGUCAGCACAAGUCAGUUGUGAAAUCUCCGGGCUUAACCCGGAAAGGUCAACUGAUACUGUGCGACUAGAGUGCGGAAGGGGCAACUGGAAUUCUCGGUGUAGCGGUGAAAUGCGCAGAUAUCAGGAGGAACACCGGUGGCGAAGGCGGGUCGCUGGGCCGAUACUGACACUGAGGAGCGAAAGCGUGGGGAGCGAACAGG
rnacentral:rRNA from 1 species